GCGGGACUCUGGGCUGUAACUGACACUGAGGAGCGAAAGCAUGGGGAGCGAACAGGAUUAGAUACCCUGGUAGUCCAUGCCGUAAACGUUGGGCACUAGGUGUGGGGGACAUUCCACGUUCUCCGCGCCGUAGCUAACGCAUUAAGUGCCCCGCCUGGGGAGUACGGUCGCAAGGCUAAAACUCAAAGGAAUUGACGGGGGCCCGCACAAGCGGCGGAGCAUGCGGAUUAAUUGGAUGCAACGCGAAGAACCUUACCAAAAAAGGACAUACACCAGACCGUCCUGGAAACAGGAGGUCCCGGGUUAAGUCCCGCAACG
rnacentral:rRNA from 1 species